AGCUCCAAUAGCGUAUAUUAAAGUUGUUGCAGUUAAAAGCUCGUAGUUGGAUUUCUGGUGGGCGCGCCCGGUCCGCCCCGAGAGGGGUGAGCACUGGCGGCGCCGUCCGCCAUCCUUGGGGAGAGGCGGCCUGGCAUUCAUUUGUCGGGUCGUGGAUCCCCAUCGUUUACUGUGAGAAAAUUAGAGUGUUCAAAGCAGGCUUACGCCUUGAAUACAUUAGCAUGGAAUAAUAGUCGAGG
rnacentral:rRNA from 1 species